rnacentral:rRNA from 1 species
UACGGAGGGUGCAAGCGUUGUCCGGAUUUAUUGGGUUUAAAGGGUGCAUAGGCGGCUUUUUAAGUCAGUGGUGAAAGACAACAGCUCAACUGUUGCAGUGCCAUUGAUACUGAAGAGCUUGAGUACAGAUGAGGUAGGCGGAAUUUAUGGUGUAGCGGUGAAAUGCAUAGAUACCAUAAAGAACACCUAUUGCGAAGGCAGCUUACUAAGCUGUAACUGACGCUGAGGCGCGAAAGCGUGGGGAGCAAACAGG